UACAGAGGUCCCAAGCGUUGUUCGGAUUCACUGGGCGUAAAGGGUGCGUAGGCGGUCGGGUAAGUCUGACGUGAAAUCUUCAAGCUCAACUUGGAAACUGCGUCGGAUACUAUUCGGCUAGAGGAAUGGAGGGGAGACUGGAAUACUUGGUGUAGCAGUGAAAUGCGUAGAUAUCAAGUGGAACACCAGUGGCGAAGGCGGCGACUUGGGUAGAUACUGACGCUGAGGUGCGAAAGCGUGGGGAGCAAACAGG
rnacentral:rRNA from 1 species